rnacentral:rRNA from 1 species
CCUACGGGAGGCAGCAGUAGGGAAUCUUCCGCAAUGCACGAAAGUCUGACGGAGCAACGCCGCGUGAGUGAUGAAGGUUUUCGGAUCGUAAAGCUAUGUACCAGGGAAGAACGCUUGGGAGAGUAACUGCUCUCAAAGUGACGGUACCUGAGAA